rnacentral:rRNA from 1 species
CCGACGGUGAGAGGCGAAAGCUGGGGGCACGAACCGGAUUAGAUACCCGGGUAGUCCCAGCCGUAAACGAUGCUCGCUAGGUGUCUGGGAUGGUGCGACCGUUUCAGGUGCCGCAGGGAAGCCGUGAAGCGAGCCACCUGGGAAGUACGGCCGCAAGGCUGAAACUUAAAGGAAUUGGCGGGGGAGCACUACAACGGGUGGAGCCUGCGGUUUAAUUGGACUCAACGCCGGAAAACUCACCUGGGGC